rnacentral:tRNA from 1 species
GAGUUAAGAAACCCAAGAAAAAGCUUCUAACUUUAAUCUUAAGCAGUGAAACUCUGUUUUUAACUCU